rnacentral:lncRNA from 1 species
ACCAAUCCUAUGCCAGGACGUAGCAAGGCUCCUGAGGCAAGCUGGGGAAUGCAGUUCUUCCUGGCCACAACAUUUUGAAUCUCACACUGCUGAAAAUACUAAUUAAUCUCUUGGGUUUCAAUAAGAAAGAAAUGAUUUCUACGAAAAGGGAGACUUAAAGGCUAGUGAAGGAAUCAGUUUCUGAUUGUGAAAGCAGUCUGCCUUAAGGUGAAGGGGAUUGGAGACGGCUAUCAUCUUCUAAGUAUUGACAUGUUAGAAGACAGAAACACCAGAUGGUCCAGGAGCAUAACAGGCUAAGUUUGACAGCACAAAAGUCAAGCAUAAGUAGAACUACAUAAGUAGUACUUCAAGCAGAAGUAAUCUCUGUUUAUAAACAUUUUGAUGGGAUUUGCAAGAUUCUGGAGAAAUAUGUAACCAAAUUACAUGAAUUGGAUAAAACCAAAGGGACCAUCAGUUCCAAUCUACCCCUCAAUAAGAAUUCGCAAUAUGACAUAAUUGCCAACUGUCAUCUGUAUUUUUGCUUGAAGACUGCCUUUGUAGAGACAUCCAACUUUCUCGGCAGACUAUCCCCCUUUAGAAUACAUCUAAUUGUUCAGUUUGUUUGUUUUGAUUUACAAAAAGCCUUCUCUUUUUGACUUCCUGAUUAAAUUUGUUCAGCUAUUUGAGAUGUUAUAAAUGUUUCUUACAUUUACUAUUUAAGUGAAAUAAUAUUGCAAUAUAUGUGAACCUAUUUUUUCAGUCACUGUUUUUCACCACUUAUAAUUAAUUAAGUUCAAUAAUUUUCAUUAAAUAUAUAAGAUGUGUAGUGCAUUGUAUGAGAUAAUUGGGAUAAACAGAUGAAAAAGUAACUAGGCCAUCCCUGACUUUCAGUGUGGUGGAGCAAACAGAACACUGGUUCUAGGGUCAGAGGGUGCAAAUCCAGCCACUUAUCCUUACUACCUGUGUGACCUCAAACAAUUCAUUUCAUCCCCUUGAGCCUCAGUUUCCUCAUUUGUAAAAAAAGAAUAAGAUUAGAUUGCUUUUGUUAUCCCUUCAACCUCUAGAAUUAUGAUCUCAUGAUGUUUCAUUCUAUUAGUGAGAAAAGAAACAUAAACUAAGCAAAACUGCAAUAUGUCUAUAGGAGAGGUCAUAAGAUAAGGAAAAGGAUAAGAUGAUCACUUCAAGGUGGGAGGAUCAGGAAGAGAACCAAAGAAGAAGAAGUGAUGUGAAGGAGAGAGUCUUUUCCCAGUAAGGGAACUACAUGGAUAAAUGUGCACAACUGGGAAAGAGUAAGAUGACAAAGAUAAUAGUUGUUUGAUUGGAAUUGAGCAAUAAUGUGAAACAAAGAUGGGCUGAUUAUUUAGAGGUAGAUAGGGAAAUAGGGGGCAACUAACCUUUAAUAAAUAGCCCCCUGCCAAGGAAAUAUCUUCA